AGCCAGUUUGAUAUCAGAGGCUAAACUGUGGUGGAAAAGUUUUGUUAUGCAAACUUUUUUCAUUUGAAAUUAUUAGUGCAGACGAGGAAGCAUAGUCUGAAUUUACUGAAUUUGAUAGAUUUUAUUCAGUUGGACAAACUUAUUUUAAUCCAUAAAUGUUGAUUGAUGACAUAAUGUUCUCAUGGACUACAUGCAAGAAAUUAAGUUACACACAUCAUUAGGUCGAUACAUUAACUGAUACUGUAUAUUUAUGUCAUGCUAAGACCCAGCAGGGCAAGCUUCAGUAUAAACCUAUUUUAUUAUAUUCUUAUGAUAAUAAUUAUUUCUAAGGUGGUCGACUUGUCUACCUUUACACCAAAAAGAAUGGUAAAGUCCCUAAAUGCGGAGACUGCAAAACAAGGCUCCAGGGGCUCCCAGCUCUUCGACCAAAACAAUUGCACAAAAUCUCUAAACGUCA